CGGGCUGCGGUUGGGAAAGCGCCGUCACUCCAAGGGGCGUGUCGAGGAGGGUUUCGCGGGCCCUAGCGGGGGAGGCGGGGGGGACCGUUAAAGCCCUGCAGCGCGCCCACAGGAAGCUGCUUUCUUGGCCAGGCCUACUUGGUACCAGGCUCUCAGCUGGGAAGGACCUUGAAGACCAUGCAGCUCAACUUCCAGUUUGCAGAUGUGGAAACUGAAGCCCAGAGAGGGUAUGCAACGUGUCCAAGAUUACGCAGCCGAAUUUAAUUCUGGAGUGUGAGCAGGAACCAGUUAACUACAUUCAUCGUCCAACCCCCACUGGUUUGAAAGAAGACUCCAAAUUCUCGGCAUAUGAAUCAGCUGUUCGGUAGCCCCACCUCAUCCCUGCAGCCAAGCAGCAGAACCGCGGUGGCGGCGCUCAGGGUUCACGCCAGGGUUCACGCCGUAGGUGGCGAGGCCUUUCGCUGAAGGAGGUACUGGUGAAUGCUCUCAGCAUCUCGCUUUAGCCAAGCAGCAUUCAGCAGGAUAUUUUCACAGCACUGCUGGAUGGUGCGCUCAGCUGAAGGAGCUGGGUGGCUCUCGAAGAAAGCCUGGUAUAAAACAACCCAGAAGGGCUCUGUGCUCCUGUCUAAAGCACACUCCUCCGUUGGGUCCCGACUCCUCUCCAUCGCUUGGCCAUCGCUCCAGGAAUUAGCCCCCGUCUCUUUCACAUCACGGAUUUUUCUAUUACUACUCUAGCAUUGUCAUCAGCACAAAAACAUGUUACAAAAUCUCCCUCUUUAUUAAAAAAAAUAUAUAUAUGCCUCCACUGACUCUACAUCUCU